UACGUAGGGGGCUAGCGUUGUCCGGAAUCAUUGGGCGUAAAGAGCGUGUAGGCGGCUCGGUAAGUCCGCUGUGAAAGUCCAGGGCUCAACCCUGGAAUGCCAGUGGAAACUGUCGAGCUAGAGUCCGGAAGAGGCGAGUGGAAUUCCUGGUGUAGCGGUGGAAUGCGCAGAUAUCAGGAGGAACACCAAUAGCGAAGGCAGCUCGCUGGGACGUUAUUGACACUGAGAUGCGAAAGCGUGGGGAGCAAACAGG
rnacentral:rRNA from 1 species